rnacentral:hammerhead_ribozyme from 1 species
ACCCUGUUGAAGAGUCCUACAACAGGACGAAACAACCGUCCAGUAC